AGGGGCAAAUAAUGUUCUAAAUUCCAGAACUUGCCUUAUCUGGUUACCUAACGCAUUCUCGGAGAUAGGCCACAGGAGCAGUUUGUCUGAAGCACAAUCUUAAGGAACACGACAGAACAACCGUGAUCCGGUUUGCUCUUCUGCUUGAAGAAAACAAAGGAAAUGAAAAGAGAGAGAAAAUGAUUUUCAAGAAACAAAGCCACAGGUUUCCAUCAUAAAUAGCUUCUUGGUGUCAAUAGAUGUGAUGACUUCUUCCCUUCCUGCUUGA
rnacentral:sRNA from 1 species